AAUAAACCAAUUUUUCAUUUUUUACCUUUAAUUUUUGACUCUUCGUCUUAUUCAAAUUUUAUUUACGAUUGAUAUUUUUGUUUUUAUUAGAUGAUAAACAUGAAUAGUACUUUAUAUGUGACUAAUUUUUUUUCAAUUUUUAAAAAAUUUAAAAAAGACGGAUGGUCAAAGUUGGACACGAAAACC
rnacentral:pre_miRNA from 1 species